rnacentral:rRNA from 1 species
AGUGAAUAGAUACCCGGGUAGUCCACGCCGUAAACGAUGGAUACUAGCUGUUCGGAGCAAUCUGAGUGGCUAAAGCGAAAAAAGUGAUAAGUAUCCCACCUGGGGAGUACGCACGCAAGUGUGAAACUCAAAGGAAUUGACGGGGGCCCGCACAAGCGGUGGAGCAUGUGGUUUAAUUCGAUGAUACGCGAGGAACCUUACCAGGGCUUAAAUGUAGAUUGACAGGACUGGAAACAGUUUUUUCUUCGGACAAUUUACAAGGUGCUGCAUGGUUGUCGUCAGCUCGUGCCGUGAGGUGUCAGGUUAAGUCCUAUAACGAGCGCAACCCCUGUCGUUAGUUGCCAGCGAGUCAUGUCGGGAACUCUAACGAGACUGCCAGUGUAAACUGUGAGGAAGGUGGGGAUGACGUCAAAUCAUCACGGCCCUUACGUCCUGGGCCACACACGUGCUACAAUGGUAGGUACAGAGAGCAGCCACUGCGCGAGCAGGAGCGAAUCUACAAAA